GAUGAACGCUGGCGGCGUGCCUAAUACAUGCAAGUCGAGCGAACGGACGAGGAGCUUGCUUCUCUGAUGUUAUCGGCGGACGGGUGAGUAACACGUGGAUAACCUACCUAUAAGACUGGGAUAACUUCGGGAAACCGGAUCUAAUACCGGAUGAUAUUUUGAACCGGAUGGUUCAAAAGUGAAAGACGGUCUUGCUGUCACUUAUAGAUGGAUCCGCGCUGCAUUAGCUAGUUGGUAAGGUAACGGCUUACCAAGGCAACGAUGCAUAGCCGACCUGAGAGGGUGAUCGGCCACACUGGAACUGAGACACGGUCCAGACACCUACGGGAGGCAGCAGUAGGGAAUCUUACGCAAUGGGCGAAAGCCUGACGGAGCAACGCCGCGUGAGUGAUGAAGGUCUUCGGAUCGUAAAACUCUGUUAGUAGGGAGGAAGAUAUGUGUAAGUAACUGUGCACAUCUUGACGGUACCGAAACAGAAAGCUACGGCUAACUCCGUG
rnacentral:rRNA from 1 species